CAGCAUUUUAAAAUAUGUAUUACCGUACAUUGUUUCCAAUCGUUUUUCUUUACCAAUAGUUUAUCGUUGUAUACAGAUAUAAAUUAAAUUCCUAUAUCUGUAUGCAACGAUAAACUAUUGGUAAAGAAAAACGAUUGGAAACAAUGUACGGUAAUACAUAUUUUAAAAUGCUGUA
rnacentral:miRNA from 1 species